UACGAAGGGGGCUAGCGUUGUUCGGAAUCACUGGGCGUAAAGGGCGCGUAGGCGGCCGAUCAAGUCGGGGGUGAAAGCCUGUGGCUCAACCACAGAAUUGCCUUCGAUACUGUUUGGCUUGAGACCGGAAGAGGUUAGUGGAACUGCGAGUGUAGAGGUGAAAUUCGUAGAUAUUCGCAAGAACACCAGUGGCGAAGGCGGCUGACUGGUCCGGUUCUGACACUGAGGCGCGAAAGCGUGGGGAGCAAACAGG
rnacentral:rRNA from 1 species